UAUUUUUGUUCUUUUUUCUUUUUGUUUUUGCUGUUUAAGCACCUGUCAUCUACUUGUGUAGGGGUUAAGGUGGAAGACGAUAAAGAUGAGAUGUCAACAUUAUUGUUUCUUUAAACGUUUCACCCUGAUUCCACUGGGCUAGGGCUGCAAAGGAUUUGUCAUUCUCAUGAAAAGUCACAAAGAAAGUAUUGGCCUGGACUAGAGACCAAGCAUCUAAAUGGAGUUUAUGUCAACCAGUGUCCUCUGAAUAGUGCCAAGACGACAAAUGAGUGGACUUGUUUUGCCAGUAAGUUCAAGGAACAAAUACUCC
rnacentral:lncRNA from 1 species